GACGAACGCUGGCGGCGUGCUUAACACAUGCAAGUCGAACGGUGAAGGGAUCAGCUUGCUGGUUCUGGAUGAGUGGCGAACGGGUGAGUAACACGUGAGUAACCUGCCCCCUUCUUCUGGAUAACCGCAUGAAAGUGUGGCUAAUACGGGAUAUUCUGGGUCUGUCGCAUGAUGGGUCUGGGAAAGAUAUUGUUUCGGUGGGGGAUGGGCUCGCGGCCUAUCAGCUUGUUGGUGGGGUGAUGGCCUACCAAGGCGGUGACGGGUAACCGGCCUGAGAGGGUGGACGGUCACACUGGGACUGAGACACGGCCCAGACUCCUACGGGAGGCAGCAGUGGGGAAUAUUGCACAAUGGGCGCAAGCCUGAUGCAGCGACGCCGCGUGAGGGAUGGAGGCCUUCGGGUUGUAAACCUCUUUCGCCAGUGAAGCAGGCCUGCUCCUUGUGGGUGGGUUGACGGUAGCUGGAUAAGAAGCGCCGGCUAACUACGUG
rnacentral:rRNA from 1 species